rnacentral:rRNA from 1 species
GAUGAACGCUAGCUACAGGCUUAACACAUGCAAGUCGCGGGGCAGCAUGGGGGUUGCUUGCAAUCCCCGAUGGCGACCGGCGCACGGGUGAGUAACGCGUAUCCAACCUGCCCUUCACCACGGGAUAACCCGGCGAAAGUCGGACUAAUACCGUAUGUUGUCCAUUGACGGCAUCCGAUUUGGACGAAAGGCUUGGCGGUGAGGGAUGGGGAUGCGUCCGAUUAGCCAGACGGCGGGGUAACGGCCCACCGUGGCUACGAUCGGUAGGGGUUCUGAGAGGAAGGUCCCCCACACUGGAACUGAGACACGGUCCAGACUCCUACGGGAGGCAGCAGUGAGGAAUAUUGGUCAAUGGGCGUAAGCCUGAACCAGCCAAGUAGCGUGCAGGAUGACGGCCCUAUGGGUUGUAAACUGCUUUUAUGCGGGGAUAAAGUGGCCCACAUGUGGGCUUUUGCAGGUACCGCAUGAAUAAGGACCGGCUAAUUCCGUG